ACUUGGCUAUCUCAACUCACAACAAUAUCAUUCCAAAACUAUUCACUCAUAUAUGGAGCUUGCAAACUCUUGUGUUCAAUACAUCCCAAACUACAGUUGAUGUUAAGGCAGAGAUAUGGAACAUGCCAAAACUAAGGCAUAUCCUGUCUAAUGCUUCUUUGCAACUCGCCCCUCCUAAUUCACAAAGUUGCAAAGCAUCAUAUGUCUAAUGCUUCUUUGCUGCUUAUUUGACAAUAUAGUGAAGCAGCUGCAUAAUCUCCAAAAUCUAAAACUCAUGCAUGAAGCUACCACACUGCAGCAGCCUAUUAUUCCACAAGCUGACAGAUUCCCGAGAAGGCUAAGAAACCUGACCUUAUCCAAGACGUAUUUUGAUUGGAAACACAUUUGCGUAUUGGGAUCCCUGGACGAGCUGGUGGUCCUCAAGUUGGAGGAGUUUUCAGCUAAGGGAGAGUGUUGGGAACUCGACGUUAACGUUGUUUUCAAGAGCCUCCAAUUCUUGCGUAUUGGGAGAACCGAGUUGGUGUACUGGACUUGUGAGCAUAGUAGCUUCCCAGUAUUGAGACGACUUUACAUAUCGCAAUGUGAACAACUUAAUGGACUACCACUUUCCUUUAAGGAUGUGAAGAGCCUCAAGAUUAUUGACUUGUUUUAUACCAACAAACGAGCUGCUACUUCUGCAAGGAAUAUACAAGACCAAAGACCUAAGUUGGAUAAGUUUGUGCUCUCUAUUUUGCCCACUCAUCAUUGACGGACUUCAACUCCAUCUAUUGCAAUGCCGCCAGUUUCUACAAAUCAAAAGGAGAAUCAAAUAACAUCUUCAGAUAUAUGGCUUCUCCAGAUCAUCUUAAUACUCGCUGCUUUGUUUUUAUUUUUUAUUUUCUUUUUCGAAAUAAAGGUUGGCAUGCAUCUAUAUGGUUGUAGGCCGCGUUCAUAUGUGGAACUUUAUCUGGAUGGUGAGUUU